GUACAUUUCUACCCUCAGGAGCUUGAGGUUCUCUCUCAGGUGAAGGGAAACAAGAGAUCACCCAACCCACACUUUCACAACAUCGUUGGUGGGUUGUAAAUAUUAUUGUCUCUGCUUGCUGGCUGUGGAGAUAUCAUAAGAAGUUUGGGAAUUCACCAAAAGUCUUCACAAAUGUAGGAAAAGGGGCUGUGGUGUCUUGGUACGUAUCCAACAACCAAGUCUCCAGAGG